AUCUAAACAAGGCCUGAAAGUUAGGGUGUCGAGCUUUUGGUAGGACACACAGAGGGAGGAGGGAGAUAGCAAGUGAUAGCGUGGCGAAGCAGAGAAGUCGAACAUCAAAGAGAAAAAGAUAAGAAUGGUCCUGUCUACCAUUGCUAACCCUUUGGUUGGCAAAAGUCUUUACAAGCUAAUUCUCAAGCUUGUUCCUAAAGAUAUGUACUAUGUACUAGUCUUUUACGAAGUUGGGUUCUUGAAAUUUUCUGCAUUUUCGACAAAUUCUUGUAAUUAAUAAUUUUACCGAGUUGAGAAUUUCAAUUUCUAUUGGGUUGAUUCUUUUAUGCGUUUUCAAUGCUUGAGGAGAGGAUUCAAGGAGGAGGUAAAGACCAUUCGCCGCGCCCACAAAGGGUUUAUCUUUAAUUUCCCAUAAUCUCUUUAAUUGUCAUGGUAAAGGUUAGCAUAGUAGCAGGUAAUGUUUUCACCAAAUGAAUGUCAUCACUCAUGUAUGUUCCAUCAAAAUAAGUGAAUUUGAAGCUUGAUUCUCACUAUUUAAAGAUUAGUAUGGCGAAUGCUUGCUUGUAUUCUUGUUUGUCAUUGAUUAGUUACCCAUUAUUCUGUAAUUACUAGUAUUCCAUGUAUCGUUUCUAUCAGGACCUAGCCACUGCUGGAGCUACUGAGAGGCCUACAUGCUGUGUUCUAGUUUUUGACCAAGCCUACCAAAGGGGAAAUGAACCAGGAUGAAUAGGAAAAGCUGAAGGCAGGUAAAGUGCGAUUUGUUGCAUGAUGUAAACCUAAUCUAAGAGCCUUUUAAGCAUCAAGCGUGAUUGAUUUUUCAAGAAUUCAGAUAUAAUCCAAGAACAUCAUCAAGGAUCACCUUUGAAGAGUGAAAAAACAGCCUGAGACUGAAACUAGGUGCAAGUUUGCCGCAGUGGGGAGCUUGGGUGCAUAAGUCUCGUGGCUCCCAAAACGUAGUUGGGGCAAGAAGCUGCAGAACAGGGCCCAAGAAAGAUUUCCAUUAUGUGUUAAUUUCAAGAUAAAAUAGUCAUUAUUUAUUUGGCUUUGUUGAUUAUAGAAAUUUGUCUAUAUAUUUAAUAUUACUAUUGGAUUAUCCUUCUGCGUUUAA